rnacentral:rRNA from 1 species
AUCGAACGCUGGCGGCAGGCCUAACACAUGCAAGUCGAACGAGUGGCGGACGGGUGAGUAAUGUCUGGGAAAUUGCCUGAUGGAGGGGGUUAACUACUGGAAACGGUAGUUAAUACAGCAUACCAUCAGAUGUGCCCAGAUGGGAUUAGCGUGUUGGUGGGGUAACGGCUCACCAAGGCGACGAUCCCUAGCUGGUCUGAGCGGAUGAACGGCAACACUGGAACGGAGACACGGUCCAGACUCCUACGGGAGGCAGCAGUGGGGAAUAUUGCACAAUGGGCGCAAGCCUGAUGCAGACAUGCCGCGUGUAUGAAGAAGGCCUUCGGGUUGUAAAGUACUUUCAGCGAGGAGGCGUUACCCACAGAAGAAGCACCGGCUAACUCCGUGCCAGCCGCCGCGGUAAUAC